rnacentral:rRNA from 1 species
UACAGGAGGUCUCAAGCGUUGUUCGGAUUCAUUGGGCGUAAAGGGUGCGUAGGCGGUUUUGUAAGUCGGGCGUGAAAGCCCCGGGGCUCAACCCCGGGAAGUGCACUCGAUACUGCGGAACUUGAGUUCGGAGAGGUUGGUAGAAUUCUUGGUGUAGAGGUGAAAUUCGUAGAUAUCAAGAGGAAUACCGGUGGCGAAGGCGGCCAACUGGACGAAAAACUGACGCUGAGACACGAAAAGCAUGGGGAGCAAACAGG